CGCGACAGAGAGUUAUUUGUUUCGCUGUGCAGCGUUCCGGAUGUGCAGGGUCCCAUUCGACCUUGAGGGGACCGAAAAAAAAUCGUUGAAUAUUCACGGAAGGAUACAAAUGAAAAAAUGUGAAAACGAGAUAAAAAAACGUUUCGCACCUUGUAAGGAUUGUACGGAUUUCCGGCGGUCAGCAUUUUUCGUCAUACUUGUGAAGCACUAGAGAACGAUGAACAACGCUGUUUAUUCCUGACAAUGGUAGAUACAAGUCCCAAUAUAUUCCUGCCAGCUGUGCACUUCCGGGGAGAAUAUCGCUGUGGUACGAUCGUGAUUUUCGACCUUGGAGCUUCCCCGAAAUAUCUCCAAUUGCGUAUUGAUCCUGAGUCCCCAGUCCUGAAAGCAAAGAAUCCGAGGACCAUCCGAAGACGCCAAAAUUUAUGGAACAGUCUCACCUCGUGAAGCAAGUCCGCCCGUGUGGUGGGAGUGACACGAUGGGACCGUCAAUUUCGGAGUGGGGAAAGCUACGAUGGGCCAGACUCGAUCGAGAAUUGAACCAGCACGAGUCUUGGGAACGAUCUUGAAGUUAUCUUUGUAUCAGCUAAUCAGAAACAUUGUAAAGGAGAAAACUUUCUAAAUAUUUUUAACACCUUCGGAUGGUAACGCUUGGAGGGCGAUAAAUAGUUAAAAAACUGUAAAAAAAUAAAAUAAAAUAAAAAUGCUACAAUGUAUUUUCGACCCUUGAGAAA